GCUGAUAACCCUGUGAACAUUGGAAACGCGGAUAACGCAAAUGUUGAUGGAAACCCGAGUAAUGUUGGCAACACGGGAAUGUCGGAAAUGGUAUUGGCGGAAGGUACAAUGUGAAUCAAGGAAUUCGGAUUAACGGGUGCCCCGUUACUGAAGAUUAUCAGUAUGAUCAAUUCUCUGUGCACGACGAAGCUCACGAGACCACUCGCCGUAUGGAUGAGCUUGCUGAGAAGCUCAAAUCUUUGGAGUCUCAAAAUUCCUUAGGUUUUGAUGUCACCAAUCUUGGU
rnacentral:lncRNA from 1 species